rnacentral:rRNA from 1 species
GAAUAUUGGACAAUGGGCGGAAGCCUGAUCCAGCCAUGCCGCGUGCAGGAAGACUGCCCUAUGGGUUGUAAACUGCUUUUGUACGGGAAGAAACACCCCCACGUGUGGGGGCUUGACGGUACCGUAAGAAUAAGCAUCGGCUAACUCCGUGCCAGCAGCCGCGGUAAUACGGAGGAUGCAAGCGUUAUCCGGAAUCAUUGGGUUUAAAGGGUCCGUAGGCGGACAAUUAAGUCAGGGGUGAAAGUCUGCGGCUCAACCGUAGGACUGCCCUUGAUACUGGUUGUCUUGAAUCGUUGUGAAGUGAUUAGAAUGAGCAGUGUAGCGGUGAAAUGCAUAGAUAUUGCUCAGAAUACCAAUUGCGAAGGCAGAUCACUAACAACGUAUUGACGCUGAGGGACGAAAGCGUGGGGAGCGAACAGG